rnacentral:rRNA from 1 species
GACGAACGCUGGCGGUGUGCUUAACACAUGCAAGUCGAACGGAAAGGCACUGCUUUUGUGGGGUGCUCGAGUGGCGAACGGGUGAGUAACACGUGAGUAACCUGCUCUUGACUUUGGGAUAACUUCAGGAAACUAGGGUUAAUCUAGUAUAGCAGACCACCUUGCGUGGUGGGGGUGGGAUCUUCUGAGCGGUCGGGGUUGGACGCGCGGCUUAUCGGCUAGCUGGUGGGGUAGUGGCUUACCAAGUCAUUGAAGGAUACCCGGCAUGGGUGGGGGGCCGGCGACAUGAGUACUAAGAUACGGCCCAGACGGCAACGUGGGGCAACAGUGGGGAGUAUUGCACAAUGAUCGGAAGCGUGAUGCAGCAGCGCCGCGGUCGUAAUGACGGCCUUCUGGGUGAAAACCGCUUUCGCCUGUGACGAAGCGUUAGUGACGGUAAUGAAUAAAGAAGCACCGGCUAACUACGUG